AGGCCCAUAGCUCAGUUUGGUAGAGCGCUGGUCUCCAAAACCAGUGGUCGGCGGUUCGAGUCCGUCUGGGCCUGCCA
rnacentral:tRNA from 1 species